rnacentral:rRNA from 1 species
CAGUAGCCGCGGGAAUACAGAGGGUGCGAGCGUUAAUCGGAUUUACUGGGCGUAAAGCGUGCGUAGGCGGCUUCUUAAGUCGGAUGUGAAAUCCCUGAGCUUAACUUAGGAAUUGCAUUCGAUACUGGGAAGCUAGAGUAUGGGAGAGGAUGGUAGAAUUCCAGGUGUAGCGGUGAAAUGCCUAGAGAUCUGGAGGAAUACCGAUGGCGAAGGCAGCCAUCUGGCCUAAUACUGACGCUGAGGUACGAAAGCAUGGGGAGCAAACAGGAUUAGAUACCCGAGUAGUCCCUGUCUCUUAUAC